rnacentral:lncRNA from 1 species
CGGAAAUUACAUGGUAUAUGCUUGAGAAGUUCUUUAACCUUCCCAAGCUUCAAAGGCAGCGAGGGAAUGGAAUUUUUUUUUAUGGAUAAACAUAUGAUCAUCUAAUGAAACAACUUGUUUGUCAAUAAAAGCUCCAGAUUGUUGUGAAAUCAAAUCUGAAGCCCCUUGACUUAAGAGUUUCCUUGGCACUGCAAAGCCAAAUCAAGGCAUUUAUCAGUGUUACAGCUGUGCUUUAAUUAAUCAUACUCAUACGAAGGCAACCCAUUAAUUAACAAUACGUAUAAACUUAUACGCAACUUCAGACUGCAACUCACAAGAAGAAAUUAAGACAUCCUCCAAUGAUAGCAAAUCCCUAUUUGCAAAUAAUAGUCUAUGUUACUGCAAACCACUUUAUAAUAGUUGUCCACUUCCAGAAAACAACAUGAAACAUAAUUUAUUCAGCCUUGCCGCAAUUGAUGAUAUCAGAAGAGGCAAAUUUCUUAAAGAAAUGUUUUGUGAGAAUUUGAUCCUGUGAAACGAAGAAAACUUCAUAUUUAGAUUUCUUUAUUUUGCCUUUUAUUUUUCUUUUUCUUUUCCCAAGUGAUCCACUAGUCGUUUUUCCUUUCCCCAUCUUUCUCUUCCCACACGAAGGGAAGUUAAUCCUCUGUUUUCAUUUUGCUCCCUUGUGUUUUUCACCCAUCAUAGGAGGAGGUGCAAGUCUCAUAAAAAUUUUAUUUCCUUGCAUAUUUUUUCCAUUUUCUUUCUCUCUUGCUUUAAAGACAAUAAAAUCAAUAUUCUAUAUUAAAAGCCCUCCUAUUUCUUUUGCUCCCCAAAAUCCAAAGAAUUGGUUAAUGUACACCAAAUUAGGCUCUCAAUUCAUUCUCAUUUGACUCUGUGGCGCCAUUACUCCUAUGACAGAGCAGGUCCACCUUCAUAGUUAUCUACCUCAACUGCAUCAUCAAUGAGAGAUGUUGCAGUGAUUCUGCUGCAUUUUCACAAAGAUAAUACACACUACUCAUCAUCCUCUACAGGAUUAAUUAUUGAUGUAACAUUCUCAUGAUCAUCUUUAUCCAUUUCAAAUCUUGUCAGUAUAAAUACUAACCCAGGAACUAAAUCUUAGAAAGAAAAACACAAAAAGAAAAGCUAUUCAUUUGCUGCGAUUUAGUAUGGAAAAAGUUUAUUGAAGAAAAAGAAAGAUCACUCAAGGGGAAAAAGGCCACAAGUAAAAAAUUACUAAACGCAAAACUCAAAACUUUCCAGCUCUGUCUACCAAUGCCUCUGUGGUUGGAAAUCUUAUGUGUAUUAAAAGCACCUUCAAGUAAUCUCAGCCAAUUUUAAUUAUAAAUAAUUAGAUCUGUUAUCUCAAAUAAGUGAUGACUAACUGCUUAACAAUUUCUCUCAAAUUCAAUUCAACAAAAUAAUAUUAAUUUUCUAACACAAAUGCAGGAACCUCAAGCUAUAAAGGAACUCAAACACCUACAUUCUUGAAACAAAAAUCAUAAUUAAUAACAAGAACAGAUCCAACCACUUACUAAAAUCAUCACCAUAAUAUCAAACAGCUACGCAUUUAAGUCCUGGAGAUUCACAGGGGCAUCCCUGCAACUAUGCAGCGGUUAAAGAGCGCUAUAAAGCUCGACAAAAUUAUGCAAAUCCCUGUAACUAUGCAAAUCUAGCUAAAUCCGAUUAAAAAACGGAAGAGAAACUUGAAACAACUGGUAGACCUAAAUCUAGCAGAACUGAAACAUCCAAAAAAAGCAGCUAUAAUAAUAAAAACACUGCCAAAUUGCUCCACAAAUAUUAAAGCAUAUGCAUGCAACUCACAGUUGUUGUAAAUGCAAAUAAAUUACAUAAAGAAAUGCUAUAAAAACAAUGAAAAUUGGAUCUGGAGAAAGAACCAAUAUUUUUUUCUCAUCUUUGUCUUUUUUUCACCUGAAAGGGAGAUUUUGUCACUGCAGGAAAAAAAUUGAGCAAAACAACUCUUUUAAAACACAGUGUUCAUUUCCCUUCCAAACACUGAAUUGAAAUAAUAAACAUAAAAGAAUCCCUAAAGGAGGAAUGAGCGUCGCGUUUAAAGAAAAAAGAGGAGGAGCUGUGGAAGAUUGUGUAUCCUUGAAAUUAGAGAAUCAAUCUGGUGACGGUAUUCGUUCCCUUCCUAAAAUAGAUUCGCUUAGUUCAAAAUUAUACAAAUACAGAGAAGAAAGAGAAACCAUUUUAGGAAGAGGAAUGAACAACGUUCUCAGAGGGAGGUAGACACAGCAAAGGAGGUAGACAAGAAUUUUAGGGUUUUCCCUAUUUAUUGAUGGUCUCGCCAGUUGGCAAUUGGGGCUGGCCAAACGACGACGUUGAGAUAGUUACUGACCAAGCAGAAAAGCCGGGGUCACAGAAUAAUGAGAGCCGUUAUUGAAAGCGGC